ensembl:lncRNA
CCCCCCCCUCAGAGCUGCCCCAUAGAUCUCCCUUGGCUGCCCCAUAGAUGUGCAUUGCCCGCCCCAUAGACCUCCAUUAUCCCCCCCCCCCUCAGAGCUGCAAUGUCUGCGCUCGGCGCUGUCCGCGGCGGCGGUGCUGAAGCGGCUGCCGCUGUCGGACGCGGUUUGGGUGCUGCCGCCGCGGGCGCCGCGGGCCGUCCUGGAGCUCUACUUUGAGAACCGCCGCAGCGCGGGCGGCGCCGUCCGGGAGGUCGUGGAGCGCCGAGACGGAACCGCCAUCGUCGUCUUCCGGGACCCCCACGUGGUGCCGCGGGUGCUGCGGAGAACCCAUCGGCUGCAGGACGUGGAGCUGCGCGUGGCGCCCUAUUACCCGGCCCUGGACCCAAACGGAACCGCUCCGGUACCGCACGGGGACACACGCACGGAGCCGGCACCGCCUGCUCACCGAUACCUUGGUACCGAACCGCGGGGUGUGGAUCCGGUACCGGGGGGUGAUAGAGAUAUGGGUCUGACACCGGGGGGUGUGGAUUUGGUACCGGGGGGUGUGGAUUUGGUACCGGGUGGUGUGGAUUUGGUACCGG